rnacentral:lncRNA from 1 species
AAGCUUCUUGAUCUUGGUUCAAGUCUCCUGUAAAAUCAACAAAUUAUCAAACAAAAGUUUUAAAAGAAAACAAAUAAAGGAACAGCUUUUGUGGUUAGCAUUCUUACAAGUUCUCUUGUUCAAGCUUAUUUGCAAUCAAGACAGCUUUGUGUUUAGACCAACUGUUUCCUUCAGCUUGCUUGAUCACUUGAGCCAAAGAAACUUUUCCUUUCACAAUGCUCUGGUGGUUCUGAUUCUGGUUUUGACUCGCUUCCAAGUGUUUCCUUCUAACUCGAGUCAUUGGAGAUUCCGGUUCAGCUACUUCUAUGAUUUCGCUUCUUCCGCUUUCGUGGUAUCUCUCACCAUUGCUUAAACCUUGAAAUGAUGAUACAGCUACGUUUUUUGGGUCUUUCUUUGACUCGGUUCUGAACUCUAAUGUGACUGGAGAUCCAAGAAUUGCCUCAAAUGCUCUCAAAAUGUGAUCUUUGAAAUUCUCGGCUGUUGAUUUUGCUAUUGGUGAGUUAAAAAUUAACUGCACCGUAGGAGCUGCAAAGAAAAAGAAGUUAGAAUCAUCUCAUAAACCUUUUUACCAUAUGAUCACUGCUCUUAUAUAUCUAUCUAUACAUUUACCUGAGCCGAUACUAAUCGAAAAGAUCUUUCCUUCUUUAUAAAGAAACUCUUCUAAACCGUUAACUCGAAGUUUCUCGAUAACAGUUAACCAAAUAUCUUCAACCGAAGGUCGAUUUAUGCAACCGAAGUCUUGCUUACUACCAUCUCUUCUUGUUCCAGCUACAGCGCCGUUUGAAGGAUCCGAAUCUGUCAAUGGAGUAUGGUUAAAGCUAGCAUCAGCGGAAGAAGUAUGCGGAAGCAAGUACUGUUUAUCAGGAGCUAGCUGGAGUAAUGCAGCAGUAAGCCAGGUUAGUUUAUCAUUCGAUACUCUCAGCUGUUUUUCUGAUUCAGAUA